rfam:Schistosoma mansoni, Puerto Rico, WGS project CABG01000000 data, contig: 0201
AUCCAGUUGACGAGUUCGAAAUAGGACGAAACGCUUGUUCAACUGGAU